GGAGCAGUACCCAAACGGUAAGGGAACGGGUUGCUAACCCGUCAGAGCCGAGAGGCUGUGCAGGUUCAAAUCCUGUCUGCUCCGCCA
rnacentral:tRNA from 1 species